GACCGGAUUUGACAGCGGACUUGGGCGGUCAGUAAGCAUGCAGUGCGGACGGGAGCGGGCACUCAAAACUCGGCUCUCAGACAAUUUAACUGGCGAAAACAACUACGCUCUCGCUGCUUAAUCGAAGUACAGUAGAUUAACUUUAUUCCGGCACCAGGUGCUGGAACGAGACAUCUCCCCGAAGCCGUUCUUCCCGAGGCUCGCGGAACCGGAGGUGCAGCAAAAUCGGGAAUAGCCUGCGGCGGCCUCGCACCGCAGACGAAAAUCGAAGAGGAUAAGGCAGCGCUUGGUGGCUCCGGUCUUGGCACUGCACGAAAACGAAGACGGAGAUAAGCAUGUAGAAAGCCGAUGGUCUUUCCGUUUGGACGAGGGUUCAACUCCCUCCUGGUCCACCA
rnacentral:tmRNA from 1 species